UUCAGCAAGAUGUUAUCUCUCAUAACAAAGAGAUAGAAUAUGAAAUUGGCAGCCAGUAUUGAUAUAUUGUGGUACUAAAAGCUCCAAUGCCAUGAGGGAUUGAAGACAUAACAGGAAUUGUGUGGGAUUUGACCAACCUUAGACUAAAGAGAAAAGUUGUUGCUGCAUUACAGAUAUUUUGAACUCAGCAUUUUUUUAUUAAUGUUUUUAAUGUUAAUUAUCUCCCUUGUGAAUAAUAUUAUAUUUAUUGUUGCAAUGAGCAUGAAUUGAAAGUUCCUCAUGUCUGUAAAACUGUUUUCCCUUGACAUUGACCACAUUUCAUGGAUCUGUAAAAAAAGUUAUGUACCCAUGGUCAAGUCCAUGUAUCAGAUUCAAAUAGCAAUAGGUCUGCUUAAUUUUAUAUACUUAUGAUUGAUCCUGAUCUCAUUGUCAUGGUUUAUUAAUCAAUGUUUAUACAUGUAUUCAAAAG
rnacentral:lncRNA from 1 species